GCGCACCAGGCGCGAAAACUCCGCAAUACGCGAAAGCGUGACGGGGCCAUCCCGCGUGCCGUCCGCCGAGGAUGGCUUUUCCCUAGUGUAGAUAGCUGGGGGAAUAAGGAGAGGGCAAGUCUGGUGUCAGCCGCCGCGGUAAUACCAGCUCUUCGAGUGGUAGGGAUGUUUAUUGGGCCUGAAGCAUCCGUAGCUGGCUGUGCAAGUCCUCCGUUAAAUCCAGUGAUUUAAUCGUUGGAUUGCGGGGGAUACUGUUCGGCUAGAGGAUGGGAGAAGCCAACGGUAUUCCCGGGGUAGGGGUGAAAUCCUAUAAUCCCGGGAGGAACACCAGUGGCGAAGGCUGUUGGCUAGAACACGCCCGACGGUGAGGGAUGAAAGCUGGGGGAACGAACCGGAUUAGAUACCCGGGUAGUCC
rnacentral:rRNA from 1 species